rnacentral:misc_RNA from 1 species
CCUCCUUAAAAAAUAAUCGCUUAGGAUAGGCGUUCACACGAAUAACUUGCCUUUACCUAAAUCAUUUCUUUACAGAUUUGAGAUUAAGGAGCGUUCUUUAACAUUUUUAUAAGCUCAAUCAAGUCACAUCAUAGUGUCUUUGUUUUUUAAUUUAGAUAUGAAUGAUGUGCAAAUGUCACCAAACCCGUCAUGUUUUAGAACAUAAGUUUGGUGUACAUACUGCAAAGUAAUUUUGGCGAAUGACAAUAGAUACUUGAAGAACAUUAAUCAUUAAGUUGUUUGAUGUAAUAUGGUCAAGUAAUUAAGCGCAUACGGUGGAUGCCUUGGCAGCUAGAGGCGAUGAAGGACGUAGUAACUUGCGAUAAGCUUGGGGAGCCGGUAAACAGGCUUUGAUCCGAAGAUUUCCGAAUGGGGA